AGGAUUAGUGCCUUUUAAAGAAAAGACACCAGAGAACUUGUUCUCUCUCCUCUUCUACUGUGUAAGGACACACAGUGAGAAAAGGGCCCUCACCAGAACUGAAUCACAGUGGUACCCUGAUCUUGGACUUCCAGCCUCAGGAACCGUGAGAAAUAAAUGUAUCACUUCCCAGAAGUAACCAGUGUUAAUAGCUGACCACUCCCAUUUUUACCUGAAGUGAAGAUUAUGUAUAUAGACCCAGACCUUACAGAAAGGAGAUCACAAGACGGAAUGACUGCUGCUCCUUUACCUCACCAAGGAGAGGCCCAUCCCACUGUGGUCCUCCUAUCUGAUCAAUAAAUAUUGUUAAGAUACACAAUCACAAAAUUGCUCCUGCCGCCUGAAAUAUGUCAUCCAGAAUUGGCCUCCACUCCCUUAAACUCACCUUGAAUCAUCCAGCACAAACCCAUAUCCUGUAAGAAGCAUCUCCCAACUCCUCAUGGUUCC